GUCUCAGUGGCCGAGUGGUCUAAGGCGCUAGCUUCAGGUGCUAGUCCAAUUCGUUGGGCAUCGGUUCGACUCCGGUCUGAGACA